rnacentral:misc_RNA from 1 species
GUGAAUCAUCAAAUUUUUGAACGCAAAUUGCACUCUCUUUGGAGAGUAUGCCUGUUUGAGGGUCAGUAAUAAUAAAAAUCGGUGUGUUGCUUCUUUGUGACGCUCCGGAGUUUGGGUCAUCUUAAUAUCCUUUAGGUUUUAUGCGGCUUAAAAUACACUUUUUUUGAGCAUUUUAGAUGUACAUAUAUUUUUUUUUUUAUUCUUCUGUCUUAAUGCUCUAUUUCCUGUUAUAUGCGA